rnacentral:rRNA from 1 species
AACAAACGCUGGCGGCGUGCCUAAUACAUGCAAGUCGAACGGGGUAGCAAUACCUAGUGGCGCACGGGUGAGGAACGCGUGGAUAAUCUGCCUUAGAGUGGGGGAUAACUAGUCGAAAGGUUAGCUAAUACCGCAUAAGACCACAGGGGCUGCGGCUCUAGGGGUCAAAGGUUUUUCGCUCUAAGAUGAGUCCGCGUAAGAUUAGCUAGUUGGUGAGGUAACGGCUCACCAAGGCGACGAUCUUUAACUGGUCUGAGAGGAUGAUCAGUCACACUGGAACUGAGACACGGUCCAGACUCCUACGGGAGGCAGCAGUAGGGAAUAUUGCACAAUGGAGGAAACUCUGAUGCAGCGACGCCGCGUGAGUGAUGAAGGCCUUCGGGUCGUAAAGCUCUGUCGCAGGGGAAUAACACAAUGAAUGUACCCUGUAAGAAAGGAUCGGCUAACUUCGUGCCAGCCGCCGCAGUAAGAC